UACGUAGGGCGCAAGCGUUGUCCGGAAUUAUUGGGCGUAAAGAGCUCGUAGGCGGCCUGUUGCGUCCGCUGUGAAAUCCCGGGGCUUAACCCCGGGCGUGCAGUGGAUACGGGCAGGCUGGAGGCAGGCAGGGGAGAACGGAAUUCCCGGUGUAGCGGUGAAAUGCGCAGAUAUCGGGAGGAACACCGGUGGCGAAGGCGGUUCUCUGGGCAUGUCCUGACGCUGAGGAGCGAAAGUGUGGGGAGCGAACAGG
rnacentral:rRNA from 1 species